rnacentral:rRNA from 1 species
UACGUAGGUGGCAAGCGUUGUCCGGAUUUACUGGGCGUAAAGAGCUUGUAGGCGGUCUGUCGCGUCUGCUGUGAAAAUCCGGGGCUCAACCCCGGACUUGCAGUGGGUACGGGCAGACUAGAGUGUGGUAGGGGAGACUGGAAUUCCUGGUGUAGCGGUGAAAUGCGCAGAUAUCAGGAGGAACACCGAUGGCGAAGGCAGGUCUCUGGGCCACUACUGACGCUGAGAAGCGAAAGCAUGGGGAGCGAACAGG